GAGGGUACAGCUCAGGGGUAGAGCACCUGCUUAGCAUGCAUGAGGUCCUGGGUUCAAUCCCCAGUACCUCCA
rnacentral:tRNA from 1 species